AUUGAACGCUGGCGGCAUGCCUUACACAUGCAAGUCGAACGGCAGCGGACCUUCGGGUGCCGGCGAGUGGCGAACGGGUGAGUAAUGUAUCGGAACGUACCUUUCAGUGGGGGAUAACGUGGCGAAAGUUACGCUAAUACCGCAUAUUCUGUGAGCAGGAAAGCAGGGGAUCGCAAGACCUUGCGCUGAUUGAGCGGCCGAUAUCAGAUUAGCUAGUUGGUGAGGUAAAGGCUCACCAAGGCGACGAUCUGUAGCGGGUCUGAGAGGAUGAUCCGCCACACUGGAACUGAGACACGGUCCAGACUCCUACGGGAGGCAGCAGUGGGGAAUUUUGGACAAUGGGGGCAACCCUGAUCCAGCCAUGCCGCGUGAGUGAAGAAGGCCUUCGGGUUGUAAAGCUCUUUCGUCCGGGAAGAAAUCGCAUCAGCUAAUACCUGGUGUGGAUGACGGUACCGGAAUAAGAAGCACCGGCUAACUACGUGCCAGCAGCCGCGGUAAAAC
rnacentral:rRNA from 1 species